ensembl:lncRNA
UCUUCCCCCUCUCUCCCUACUGUCCCGUAGUCUCUCCCCUCAGUCUCUUCCCUCUCUCCCUACUGUCCCGUAGUCUCUCCCCUCAGUCUCUUCCCUCUCUCCCUACUGUCCCGUAGUCUCUCCCCCUCAGUCUCUUCCCUCUCUCCCUACUGUCCCUGUAUCUCUCCCCUCAGUCUCUUCCCUCUCUUCCUACUGUCCCAUAGUCUCUCCCCUUAGUCUCUUCCCUCUCUCCCUACUGUCCCAUAGUCUCUCCCCUCAGUCUCUUCCCUCUCUCCCUACUGUCCCGUAGUCUCUCCCCUCAGUCUCUUCCCUCUCUCCCUACUGUCCCGUAGUCUCUCCCCUCAUCUCUCCCCUCAGUCUCUUCCCUCUCUCCCUACUGUCCCGUAGUCUCUCCCCUCAGUCUCUUCCCUCUCUCCCUACUGUCCCGUAGUCUCUCCCCCCUCAGUCU